GGAGAUUGGAAUUUGAGAUUACAGCAAUAACCUCCCUUUGACAUAAGCUCUUCAGAUUAGAGGUGGGUUGAAAGAAGACAAAUACGAAAGUGACAUCCAAGAUCAAAGUCGAGUUGUGACAUGUGACAAGGAGUGCUUGUAUUGUAUAAAGGCUGUCAUAAUCAGGAGUGGAACAAUCAUGUUUAAACUAGUAAGAUCUCCAUUACUUAUAUUUGGAGUAGGAGUAUAUUUGGGAAUGUAUAUUGAUCAAAACUAUCAGAUUCCCAGGGUUGAUGACCCUCAAAGAGUUUGGGAUAGAAUCAAAGAAUUUUCAGAAAAUUACAAGAAAGAUAAAUAGGUGUCUUCAGAAUGGAAAGAUAAAAAGUUUUGACAUCACCUUUAAUUUGGUCAAGGAACCUAUCAAAAAAAAUAUGUUGGUAUAAUAGAUAAACAUGUUGUGAAUUCAUUUUCCUCCAUUUGAAUCUCUGCAUUUUGGACUGAUGUUCAAGAAUAAUGACUUGAAGCCAUCUUACAUCUGCAUGUGAAUCAUGGACACCUGGUUAGUGUCAUACUUGAUUAAUUCUCAAGAAUCAUUUCUUAAAUUGUUUUUAUUUGUAUGUUUAUGUGUAAUUUUCUAUGGUGAUUAAUGAAACGCAGGCAUGAAUCUCGAGGUAUGAUUUUUAUCCCCCUAAAUAUCUGAAAUGGAUUUGCCCUUCUUUCAAUCUGGACAAAACCAUUCAUCUUUUCCAGAGAAAAUUUCAAAAUAUAAACUUGCUGAAUAGCAAACUGUGCAGACCAUGCAACCAACUAUUUGCAGUCUAAUGAUAUGUAAAACUUAUGUGCUAGAUGGAACUAUUUUUACCAGAAAAACAGUUCUUCAUUACAAAUCAUAACUAUUUUUGUUUAAAAAAUUCUGAUACAACACCUGUAGAUUGCUCAAUAAUGCAGUGAUUGUUUAUGAUAUUUUUAUCUUUUAUUAAUAUUUUUAAUCUUUUAUUGUAAUGAGUCCGUCGGCUUAGCACAAUAGGGAGAGCAUUGGUUCCAUCCUCUGGCUAGGUGAAAUUUGUCCUUAGCAAUUGAUCUCGGGACAUUAAGUCUAAUCAUAAUUCCUCUCUCAUUGCUAAAUAAGAAACCACAUGGGAUAAAUUGUCACAUGAGAAGAAAUUUUAGCUAUUCAGGAAAGCCAAAUUGCAUGACAAACUGCUGAGCUCAUGACCAAAAUAAUUUUUCAAAAUUAACCAAAAAAAACCCCAGCAAACAAACAAGCUAACACUAUUGUAAUCAAGGACCAAUCAAAACCAUUUUUCAGAAGUUAUUGAUUGAUAUAAAAGCCUGUGUAUAAAAUAUACUAUUUGGAAUUUCUUAAAAUGAUGAAAAAGUUUACAUAAGCCCUUAGUUGAUUUCUUAAAAAUUGUACCAAGUGUCUUCUUUUCCUCUGUUAUUUACAUUUUAUGCCAGACUUGAUUGAUUAUAAUACUGAAUGAGACAAAAGUGUUGAUUCAUUUGUAUAUAAUGAAAAGUAGUACAAGAUCUCUCUUUAUUGUUGCUAUUUGUAAGAAAAUCAAAAGUGAAAUGACAUCUCUUUAUAUUUCAUUUAAACAUGAUUUCUCUCCCUUGUUUUAAUUGUCUCCCUUGAUCAUUUUGGGAUCUGACUUACAAAAGCAUAGACUUUUAGAGAAGGUUAUUGUCACAUUAAUGUAAACAUUAAUAAUUUUAAAUUUAUUUAUUUUAAUUAACUGAACUUUUAAAAGUGGAAAAGAAAUUGUACUCAAGGAACGAUCCAAUUUAAGUAUACAUAUGCCGUGAUAAAAUUAAAUUUCUUCUUAUUUCAUUUUUUCAUCCAUCUUGAAUAGACAUUCCUUAUUAAUCAUUUCUUAAUGUUUCAAAAGUUGUAUAAAUUGCAAUUUAUUUUCUUCUCACAAAUAUGCAAGUAGUUAAAUGCCAAUUGGGUUUUACCAAAUUAAACAACCUCUAUUAAUCUUGAUAAUAUAAAAUAUUGUUAAAUUGUUUUUUUCUAUAGCUUUUUGCUUCCUGUUGAAGGCCGAAAUGUUGAUACUUUUAUUUUAAAUUUAUUUUACUUUGGACCAUAAUUAUGUAAUUAUGAAGUUGAAUCUAAUCUUAUUAAACCUUUCCUAGCUGGAGCUGUAAGUGAAUGGCCUUUGUCACCAGUAUAGUCCGGCCAGCCUGCACAUCAAUGCAGUCUGUCCAGACGCAAUACUGCUGUCUGACCAGCUUUAUAUCUUGAUAUACUUAAAAAUUGAUAAUAGUCAAUGCUGGUAAUGUCCAUCUAAGAAAUUCAGCAGGAUAAGGGCACAGUUUGAAUGAUGUCAAAAAAUAAACCAUAUCACUUCAUGAUGUCUAAGAUUAUGAAUAAUAAAUGAAUUACAUAAUUUAGAAACUGUAUGUAUUAAGUGUGUACAUUUGCAUGAUUCGUAAGUUAUAAAGUUACAUGUGCUGUGCUGAAUGACCUUAAAGGUUCUAAUUUUACUAUGUAUGUAUGUAUGUAUGUACAUGUAUGUGCAUGUAUAAAGAAAAAAAUUAACUGUAAAUAAUUUAAAUUGUUGCAAUUUGUGAUUGUUUUAUUGUUCACUUAUUAACUUUAUCAUUUGUGUAUUAAAUAAUAAAAUUAUGUUUGAAAUAAAUUUUGAAAAUUU